GAGGUAUUCCCUCCGUCCGAAAAAACAUGUCCCAAGUUUGCCCCUCAAAUGAAUGUAUCUAGCACUAAUUUGGUGCUAGAUACAUCCAUUUAAGGGACAAACCUUUUUGGACGGAGGGAGUAGUAA
rfam:Triticum aestivum genome assembly, contig: Triticum_aestivum_CS42_TGACv1_scaffold_393338_5AS